UGGUAACUUUUGUAUCUGACCUCAUUAGGUGAUCAGGUCCUUAAUUAACGGAAAAUUUCCAGGAGAUUUAGCGUACAAAUGCACUGCUUGUGUCUAGGUAAUUUCUAAUCUUUGAAGUGCAAAAGAAUCUUUGAUUAACCAUUAGAAUUUGACUACUGAUGUUGGUACUAGCUAUAAACUGUUGGAAGUGGAACCAUAGGCAUACAAAUGAUUUUCUUCUCCUUUCCUCCUUUUCUCUAUUUGUUAGUGUGUUUGUGUGUGUGUGUUAUCGGGUAGGGAUGCAGAGCUUUGAUAUGUGAAUGAGAUGUGCCUAUUAUGUCUGCUUCUUUUGAAGCUUAGAAAGAAAAUGCUGAAGCAACUGAUAUAUUCCCGCACAAAUAACUAUAAAUGCAUCGAAAGAAUUAUUUUGGGCCACUAAAUGUUGGGCAGCAAACGGCAAUGCUCAAACUCAGAUGUUUUUCAUGUCUGGAACUGCCUUAAUACUUUGAUCUUAACAACUUGUGCUUUAAAAGCAACCUUUAACAGUGAAUCUUGCUGAGCUACUUUUUGAGUUCAUCCGAGAUACUUCAAGCUUAUUGCGAUUGAUACUGGUAUAUUGAUAAUAUGUGCAGGUUACUCGUUCCCUUUUAGGAAACUCCCUUGAUGUGGUUGCCGAGGUGCAGAAGGCACAAAUACAGUUUCAUAAAUUGGCUGAUAUUUCCUUCUCCACUCCAACUGUUGAGGAACUUGAGUUGCAGCUUCAUUUUGUGAAUUUUAAUACUGGCAAGAAGGUGAAAUUGACACUAGAUAUGUCAUGCUUGAAUAGGGGGGUCUAUCCUUCAGAAGUUGUUCCAUCCCAGUUUGCAGCUCUAGCUGUUCGCUCUGAACAUUCAGAUCAUGCGCUACUUGGUGAAAUUAGAGAUGCUGUCAAAAGUCUUAGAGCUGGAUACAUGAGGAUUAUACGGUUAUGUGAUUGUAUUUCACGGGUGGUUCAAGCCUCGGGUGGUUAACUUCAGUAGAAACGAAAAAUUAAACUUGGAUGAGUGGACUAUUGUUGGGGUUGCCACAUAUGAACUUCCCCUUGCACAUGUUCUCCAUUGUCACAGGUCUUCUGUGGCAACAAUCACAUCAUAUGUCGAAGAAUGGUCGUGCUAUAUGGGUUGAGAUCAUAGCUGAAUGUAUAACUUUUUCUCUUCGAUCCAGAAGUAUGGUCUUUGGGCGUUCUCCCAGGUCUUUUCUAUUUUUUCUAAACCGUCUUCUUAAUUUCUUGUUUUACUUUUGGGCGACGAAGGGUUGGGGAGUUCUAAACUUUAGAACUAUAAUGAUCAGCGUGAGCUCUUGUUUACUUUGAUCGA